rnacentral:rRNA from 1 species
UACGUAGGGGGCAAGCGUUGUCCGGAUUUAUUGGGCGUAAAGAGCGUGUAGGCGGUUUUAUAGGUCUGGUGUGAAAACUCGAGGCUCAACCUCGAGACGCCGGUGGAAACCGUAAAGCUAGAGUCCGGAAGAGGAGAGUGGAAUUCCUGGUGUAGCGGUGAAAUGCGCAGAGAUCAGGAAGAACACCCGUGGCGAAGGCGGCUCUCUGGGACGGUCCUGACGCUGAGACGCGAAAGCGUGGGGAGCGAACAGG